GCUUGUCAGAUUUGGAUUCUGCCUACUCCUACGUCUGAAAAAAUAUCAGUAAAAUAAUACUUAGUGCACCGAUGUUCUCACGUUUAGGUCUUCGAUCCCUUAUCGGAGGUGCGACAUGCUGCAGGCGACUCGUGAAGAUUACAAACGGGCCGCAAGUCAUGGGCGUGCGACGACAUAGCGAAGUUCCACCGCAACCUUUCGAUAACAUGCCCUUUACAAUAAAGACUCGAUUUGCGGCAACAGUUUUUUUUGCUUUCUUCUUUGGAAUUGGAUUAUGGGCGCCCCUGAUUAUUGUUUGGUAUUCAAUGGCCAAAAAGACUAUGUAAUAAAUAAAAAACUAGGAAAAUUCUUUUCCCCAACAACCGUACAGGUUUAGUAGAUUGUGAAGUAGUUUAUACGACUUUUCAUUGUAUUUUUAUAAUGAAUUAAAAGGAAUUGCGACUAUAA